UAUCUUUGAUGGGUUAACCCAUUCUUUUAGGCUGAAAAUCUAAUGUGCAGAUGACACCCCAAAGAC
rnacentral:tRNA from 1 species